rnacentral:rRNA from 1 species
CCAGAGAACUUAGCAGAGAUGCUUUGGUGCCUUCGGGAACUCUGAGACAGGUGCUGCAUGGCUGUCGUCAGCUCGUGUUGUGAAAUGUUGGUUAAGCCCGCAACGAGCGCAACCCCUAUCCUUUGUUGCCAGCGAUUCGGUCGGGAACUCAAAGGAGACUGCCGGUGAUAAACCGGAGGAAGGUGGGGAUGACGUCAAGUCAUCAUGGCCCUUACGAGUAGGGCUACACACGUGCUACAAUGGCGCAUACAAAGAGAAGCGACCUCGCGAGAGCAAGCGGACCUCAUAAAGUGCGUCGUAGUCCGGAUUGGAGUCUGCAACUCGACUCCAUGAAGUCGGAAUCGCUAGUAAUCGUAGAUCAGAAUGCUACGGUGAAUACGUUCCCGGGCCUUGUACACACCGCCCGUCACACCAUGGGAGUGGGUUGCAAAAGAAGUAGAUAGCUUAACCUUCGGGAGGGCGUUUACCACUUUGUGAUUCAUGACUGGGGUGAAGUCGUAACAAGGUAAGCGUAGCGAG